AUGGAGGUGGACGGGACACCGGACCUGACGGAUUUCAUGAACGACUGGUUCUUCGGGACCGUCGGCGUGAAGCACAACGCCGUCGCCGCCGGCUCCCCCGCGUACGACCUCACGGGCGAGAGCAGCAGCAGCAGCAAGAAGAAGCAGUCGUCGGAGAAGAAGCCGCAGAGGGCGGAAAGCGAAGGCGGCCGUAGUGGCGGCGGCAGCAGGGCCAGCAACGCGAGCAAGCAGACGCAGGAGUGGCUGGAGGAGGCGAAGAGGAUGAUGGUCGGGUCCGGGUCGCCGGGGAGGAUGGGCUCGCCGUCUAGGCAGGUGCCCAAGUUCGCCGGCGGCAACGGCACGGAGCCCUCGCCGGCGCUCGACCGGCGGGACCCCAUGUCACGUUCCGCGAGAAGGCACCGGCAGCCGGGCGGCAUCGGCGACGAGAUCCUGCAGCGGGCGUCCAUCAUCUCCUCGCCUCCGCGCUCCGACACCUCCACCCCGUCGGCGCCGCCGUCCCCUUCCCCGUCCCUGCCGCCGAACCCGCACUCCUCCCGCCGCAAGUCCCGCUUCCACGGCCCCUCCGGCCCGGACCCCUCCGCCUCGCUCCGCCGCACCACCUCCUCGGCGUCCAACUCUCCACCCACCGCCUCCGCGCCCCCGCGCCCCCUGCACCACCGCCGUCACGCGUCCGCCUCUGGCUCCCCCGCCGCCGACGGCUUCGACGACGGCGUCGCCCGCCUCAACGCCUUCCUCCGCCGCCAGCGCGCCGCCCUCGCCGACCUGUCCUCCGGGGACCGCUCCUCCCGCUCGAGGUCCACGAAGCUCGUGCUCUCCGACGCCUCGAAAAGUGUGAGCUCGAUCGUGGCGGCGAUAUGCUACGCGUGGAUGCAGUCGAGCAAGGGGGACGGCCAGGCGGCGGCGGUGCCGGUGGUGAACAUGCGCCGGAGCAGGAUGACGGGGUGCAGGCAGGCGGCCUGGCUCCUCUACCACGUCGGGGUGGACGCCUCGGCCCUGCUCUUCGCCGACGAGGUUGAUAUGGAGGGAUUAAUAAUGGAUCAGCGGGCCAGCUUGCUGGUGGUGGGCCAAGAUGUUUUGAGAUCAAACGGUGAGGUGGGCUCAGUUUGCACACUCCUCGCCAAUGACCAUUCUGAAGAAGCUUAUGCCCUACUUCAGAGCCUGGACAUAAAGAAACUUCUGCUUGCAGGUAUCCUGUUAGAUACAAACAACCUUUCCAAGAUGUGCUCAGAGAAAGAUACAGAGGCAGUGCGAUCGCUCUUGAUCGGUACCUCUGAGCAUAAACGGCAUGAAUUGUUUCAACAAUUGAUGCUUGAUCACAAUGAGCAUUCUUUCGUCGAGUUCUUGAAGAACACCUACAGAAAGUCAUCCACAGAUGGUGCUGGGGACAGUCCUCCAGAGCAAAAGAAUUCAGUUUCAGGGGCAUCCCAAGAUGCUAAAAAGUCCAAUUCAGCUAACCAGAAACCAGCGCGCGGAAAGCCUUCAGAAGAAGCUCCUCAGGGGAAAAACAAAUUUUCCUUGGCCAAGUUUUUUGGCUUUGGUCGAAAAUAA
rnacentral:rRNA from 1 species